rnacentral:rRNA from 1 species
CUACGGAGGGUUCAAGCGUUAAUCGGAAUUACUGGGCGUAAAGCGUACGUAGGCGGUCCGUUAAGUUAGGGGUGAAAGCCCCGGGCUUAACCUGGGAACUGCAUUUAAAACUGGCAAACUAGAGUUGGGUAGAGGGAAGUGGAAUUUCAGGUGUAGCGGUGAAAUGCGUAGAGAUCUGAAGGAACACCAGUGGCGAAGGCGACUUCCUGGACUCAAACUGACGCUGAGGUACGAAAGCGUGGGUAGCAAACGGGAUUAGAUACCCCUGUAGUCC